AUUUUCAGCGAUGGAUGCCUUGGCUCGCGCAACGAUGAAGGACGCAGUGAAAUGCGAAACGCAAUGUGAAUUGCAGAAUUCAGGGAAUCAUCAGAUUUCUGAACGCAAAUGGCACCUU
rnacentral:rRNA from 1 species